GAUGAACGCUGGCGGCGUGCCUAAUACAUGCAAGUCGAGCCAAUAGACGAGGAGCUUGCUCCUCUGACGUUAGCGGCGGACGGGUGAGUAACACGUGGAUAACCUACCUAUAAGACUGGGAUAACUUCGGGAAACGGGAGCUAAUACCGGAUAAUAUAUUGAACCGCACGUUUCAUUAGUGAAAGACGGUUUCUGUCUUCCUUACAGAGGAAUCCGCCCCGCAUUAUCUAGUUUGUAAGGUAACGGUUUACCAAGGCAACGAUGCGUACCCGACCUGAGAGGGUGAUCGGCCACGCUGGAACUGAGGCACGAUCCACACUCCUACUGGAGGCGGCAGUAGGGAAUCUUCCGCAAUGGGCGAAAGCCUGACGGAGCAACGCCGCGUGAGUGAUGAAGGUCUUCGGAUCGUAAAGCUCUGUUAUUGGGGAAGAACAAAUGUAUAAGUAACUAUGCACGUCUUGACGGUACCUAAGCAGAAAGCCACGGCUAACUACGUG
rnacentral:rRNA from 1 species